rnacentral:tRNA from 1 species
GCUGGGUGUGGCUCAGUGGUGAGCCCGUGCCUUGCACACAUGAGCCCUGGGUUCCAUCCUCAGCGCCAGCC